CAAGAGCCCCAAAAAGGGCCUUCGACC
rnacentral:rRNA from 1 species